ensembl:lncRNA
AGGCCAUAGCCGUUUGUUACAUAAAAAGGAAAAGGGGUUUUUUUGGUCCUUAAUGAUUUUCUGUGGGAAUAUGGAGGGGAAAAAAAAAAAAGUGUUCUCCAAAGCAUCAAGACAGUAAUACCCACUACAGACUCCUUGUCCUGCCAAAAUAAAUUAGGAUUUCAACAAAGUUGGUGAUAAAGAGCAAUCUGAAGUUUUACCUGUUUGAACUCAGAGCUGGCUCAGCUCCUACAAAGUGUUCCUCUGCUCAUCCACCUGCUAGCUUUCUGCUGAUGCACUGCAGCAGCUAACGGCUCAAAACACAGGAGUCAACAGGUGAUGAAAAGCCUGUCUGCAGACUGUGCUGUCGCAGGCCCACCACUGAACUAGGUUUGAUGGUGUGGAGCAGUAAUGCAGGAAAGGGAGGGGACACAGCAAGAGAACUAUGGACUUCAGAGCAAACAAGAGAGGAAACAGAACACUAGGAGAAAAGGCACAAUGACUUAUUUAGAUACAGCAGCCAGAAUAUGCAGACCAGUGGUGGAAGCAUCCUCCUAUACGUUCAGUGUGCCCAGAAUAGGGAGAAUCAGGAGGACUGAGCUGUUUGGUACUGUGUGUGCUACACCUGGAGCACCUUUAGAAAGCACUGCCAGAAGGAAUAUCCAAAGCACAGCAGGCUCAGGCACCCAGCAUCAGCCCACACCUCCUCACUUCCCUACAUGAGGAAGAACAUCCUCCAAUGAGACGCUAAC